rnacentral:rRNA from 1 species
GAUCCUGGCUCAGAUUGAACGCUGGCGGCAUGCUUUACACAUGCAAGUCGAACGGCAGCGCGGGGAGCUUGCUCCCUGGCGGCGAGUGGCGCACGGGUGAGUAAUACAUCGGAACGUGUCUUCUAGUGGGGGAUAACUGCCCGAAAGGGCAGCUAAUACCGCAUGAGACCUGAGGGUGAAAGCGGGGGAUCGCAAGACCUCGCGCUGGAAGAGCGGCCGAUGUCCGAUUAGCUAGUUGGUGAGGUAAAGGCUCACCAAGGCGACGAUCGGUAGCUGGUCUGAGAGGACGACCAGCCACACUGGGACUGAGACACGGCCCAGACUCCUACGGGAGGCAGCAGUGGGGAAUUUUGGACAAUGGGGGCAACCCUGAUCCAGCCAUGCCGCGUGCAGGAUGAAGGUCUUCGGAUUGUAAACUGCUUUUGUCAGGGACGAAAAGGGAUGCGAUAACACCGCAUUCCGCUGACGGUACCUGAAGAAUAAGCACCGGCUAACUACGUGCCAGCAGCCGCGGUAAUACGUAGGGUGCAAGCGUUAAUCGGAAUUACUGGGCGUAAAGCGUGCGCAGGCGGUUCUGUAAGAUAGAUGUGAAAUCCCCCGGGCUCAACCUGGGAAUUGCAUAUAUGACUGCAGGACUUGAGUUUGUCAGGGGAGGGUGGAAUUCCACGUGUACCAGUGAAAUGCGUAGAUUUUUGGAAGAACACCGUGGCCAA